AACGUAGGUUCCGAGCGUUAUCCGGAUUUACUGGGCGUAAAGCGCGUUCAGGCGGUUUGGCAAGUCGGGCAUGAAAUCCUUCGGCUCAACCGGGGGAGGUUGUCCGAUACUGCUGAACUGGAGGGCAGUAGAGGGUGGUGGAAUUCCGGGUGUAGUGGUGAAAUGCGUAGAGAUCCGGAGGAACACCAGUGGCGAAAGCGGCCACCUGGACUGCACCUGACGCUGAAACGCGAAAACUAGGGGAGCGAACGGG
rnacentral:rRNA from 1 species